rnacentral:rRNA from 1 species
GCUCAGUAACGGCGAGUGAAGCGGCAACAGCUCAAAUUUGAAAUCUGGCCCCAGGCCCGAGUUGUAAUUUGCAGAGGAUGCUUUUGGUGCGGUGCCUUCCAAGUUCCCUAGAACGGGACGCCAGAGAGGGUGAGAGCCCCGUACAGUUGGACACCAAGCCUUUGUAAAGCUCCUUCGACGAGUCGAGUAGUUUGGGAAUGCUGCUCAAAAUGGGAGGUAUAUUUCUUCUAAAGCUAAAUACCGGCCAGAGACCGAUAGCGCACAAGUAGAGUGAUCGAAAGAUGAAAAGCACUUUGAAAAGAGGGUUAAACAGCACGUGAAAUUGUUAAAAGGGAAGCGCUUGUGACCAGACUUGCGUCCGGUGAAUCACCCAGCUCUCGCGGCUGGGGCACUUCGCCGGCUCAGGCCAGCAUCAGCUCGCUGUCGGGGACAAAAGCUUCAGGAACGUAGCUCUCUUCGGGGAGUGUUAUAGCCUGUUGCACAAUACCCUUCGGCGGGCUGAG